rnacentral:rRNA from 1 species
AACAAGGUUUCCGUAGGUGAACCUGCGGAAGGAUCAUUGUCGUUUGCUCGGAAAAACACGACCCCUGUGCACGUAACCUAAUCAACCGCCGCCGGGGAGGCACGCCUCCUCGGCCCACCGGCCGCUGUCCUCACCGGGCCGUGCGCCGGGAAUACGGCGCGGUCUGCGCCAAGGAACACGAGAUGCUGAGGCGGCCGGCGGAGCGUGCUCUGCCUGCCGUCGAAGCAAAGGAAUACGCGAUGACUCUCGGCAACGGAUAUCUCGGCUCUCGCAUCGAUGAAGAACGUAGCGAAAUGCGAUACGUGGUGUGAAUUGCAGAAUCCCGCGAACCAUCGAGUCUUUGAACGCAAGUUGCGCCCGAGGGAUCCGCCCGAGGGCACGCCUGCCUGGGCGUUAGAAGCCCAUCUACGCUCGGUGCUUGCUCAGCCCCGAUGCGGAUCGUGGCCCUCCGAGCCCAAGCGGCGCGGUGGGCCUAAGUGCGCGGCCGCCGGGAGGAGCCGGGAGCGGCGAGUGGUGGAACGCUGCGUACGCCGCCCCGUGCCCCUCCGCCGGCACGUGGCCUUGACAGACCCUCGAGCGAGGAGCCGUGCCCACAGCGGCAGGGCGCCUUCGGAUCGAUACCCCAGGUCAGGCGGGGCUACCCGCCCCAUAUAGAAAAACCCCA